CCAGUUGCCCAGGAGUCACAGCCUCACAGGCACAGGAAGAACAACCUGAGGUGAGAAAUGGCAGGGUUCUUCGGCACCUGUGCUGCUUCUGAUCACUAUUGUUUGCAGCUCAGAUCUGGAUCAGCUCACCAUGAACUGAUUAGACCAAACAAGUACAGAAGGACCAUGAUCAGGUGCUGCAGCACAGCGAAGGGGAAGACAAGAAGGGACUACUUCCAGGUUCUUGGAGUAGCAACUCAUUCCACACCUCAGGAGAUCAAGGAAGCUUACAGGAAACUCCAGAAGCAACACCAUCCUGAUAUUGCUGGCGACAAGGGCCAUGACCACGCGCUAUUGCUGAAUGAGGCGUAUGAGGUGUUGAUGAGGAGUUCAUCCAGGAAAGCUGAUGGAUUUGGCAAGAGCAGAGGCGGCUUUGGGAGCGGUUACACCGGGGACGGAUACAGUUCUUGGAAUGGGCCUAUCAGGAGCCAGGCUCUCUUCGUGGAUGAGAACAAAUGCAUAGGAUGUAGGGAGUGUGUUCACCAUGCUGGGGAGACGUUUGCCAUGGACGAUGUUCUUGGAAGUGCGCACGUCGAAGUCCAGUUUGGCGACGUGGAGCAGCAGAUCCAGGUGGCUGUGGAGUCUUGCCCUGUGAACUGCAUCCACUGGGUUGGGAGUGAAGAGCUCCCGGUGCUGGAGUUCAUGGCGCGGCCACAGCGCAAGGAAGGGCACGGCGUAUUCGGCGGCGGGUGGGAGAGGCCCAAGGACGUGUUCGCGGCGGCCAGGAACUUCGCCAAGAAACUCGAGAGGCAGGAGCAGCAGGAAAGUUCCAGGGGCGCAAACGGGGGUGAAGAUGUGGAGGCUGAAACGGCAGCGCAGGCCGAAGCGAGACGCCACGCGGGGCAGGAGCUACGGUGGAAGAGUUUGUUCGAUGUUUGGAAUGGGUUGGGAGACUGGAGGAAAUCCGGAACAGACAGGUAGAUGUGCAAUGGCUAGUCGCUGGUUCGUGAUGGUGUGAAGACUGCAACCACACACUGAUGUUGUACGACGUGCUGUAAUACCUGGGAUAUAGGAGUACAAUGUUUGGAUCAUGAGGUUUCCCCAACCAAAUAUGACGUCCUAUGUCAGGGUGGACACGGUCCGGUCCGGUCCCUGACCGAGCCUUCGUUUGGACCGGCCGCUGGCGGUCCGGACCGAGCAGGGGAGCGGUCCUGUUUCCGGGGACCGGACCGGCGGCGUCAAAGCCCGGGCCAGACCGAGUGGACCGAAUGGACCGGCUAGCACGACCAGCGUCCAUGUGUGCGGUUGCUGCGGCGAGGUGGCGUACGUGCGCUACUGCUGCGAUGAAGUGGACGACGUGCGCGAGCGCUGACCUGCGCGAGAAUUGACUGACAACUGAAAGUUUGACGAAACUGACGAAGUGGAUUUUCUGAAUCUGACUGUUGGAAUACCCCUACAAGACCGGCACUUCUGAAUCUGACUGUUGGAAUACCCCUACAAGACCGGCUGCACCAACGUGAGAUUGUCUCACGUAGCUCUCUCUCUCCGUAACAACUAGUCCUCGUCUCUAGUGCAUGAACUGCAUGAUCUCAUGAGCUUAUCUAGAUGAGUUAGUUACGGAGGUUGUGUUGGCGCAGUGGCCGCACCUGCCGACCUACGUGCUCCUUUUCUCUGUAUAUCUGUAACACUCGACAGAUGAAUGAACAUAAGAGCUGUUUCUCUCC